rnacentral:tRNA from 1 species
CGGCUGGAUGGCCCGGCUCGGGUAGGCGGCUCGGGUAGCCGCUCGAUCGCCCGGCCAGGCGGGCGCUCGGGUGUCGGCGCCCGGCUGGCCGG